rnacentral:rRNA from 1 species
UACGGAGGGAGCUAGCGUUGUUCGGAAUUACUGGGCGUAAAGCGCGCGUAGGCGGCUUUGUAAGUUAGAGGUGAAAGCCCGGGGCUCAACUCCGGAAUUGCCUUUAAGACUGCAUCGCUAGAAUUGUGGAGAGGUAAGUGGAAUUCCGAGUGUAGAGGUGAAAUUCGUAGAUAUUCGGAAGAACACCAGUGGCGAAGGCGACUGACUGGACAGAUAUUGACGCUGAGGUGCGAAAGCGUGGGGAGCAAACAGG